GUGAGGAAUAUUGGUCAAUGGGCGGGAGCCUGAACCAGCCAAGUCGCGUGAAGGAAGAAGGAUCUAUGGUUCGUAAACUUCUUUUGCAGGGGAAUAAAGUGCGGGACGUGUCCUGUUUUGUAUGUACCCUGAGAAUAAGGAUCGGCUAACUCCGUGCCAGCAGCCGCGGUAAUACGGAGGAUCCGAGCGUUAUCCGGAUUUAUUGGGUUUAACGGGUGCGUAGGUGGUUUGAUAAGUCAGCGGUGAAAGUUUGCAGCUUAACUGUAAAAAUGCCGUUGAAACUGUCGGACUUGAGUGUAAAUGAGGUAGGCGGAAUGCGUGGUGUAGCGGUGAAAUGCAUAGAUAUCACGCAGAACUCCGAUUGCGAAGGCAGCUUACUAAGCUACAACUGACACUGAAGCACGAAAGCGUGGGGAUCAAACAGGAUUAGAUACCCCAGUAGUCC
rnacentral:rRNA from 1 species